rnacentral:rRNA from 1 species
GCGUAAGCGCGCGCAGGUGGUUUCUUAAGUCUGAUGUGAAAGCCCACGGCUCAACCGUGGAGGGUCAUUGGAAACUGGGAGACUUGAGUGCAGAAGAGGAAAGUGGAAUUCCAUGUGUAGCGGUGAAAUGCGUAGAGAUAUGGAGGAACACCAGUGGCGAAGGCGACUUUCUGGUCUGUAACUGACACUGAGGCGCGAAAGCGUGGGGAGCAAACAGGAUUAGAUACCCUGGUAGUCCACGCCGUAAACGAUGAGUGCUAAGUGUUAGAGGGUUUCCGCCCUUUAGUGCUGAAGUUAACGCAUUACGCACUCCGCCUGGGGAGCACGGCCGCAAGGCUGAAACUCAAAGGAAUUGACGGGCGCCCACACAAGCGGUGGAGUAUG